UACGGGGGGGGCAAGCGUUGUUCGGAAUUACUGGGCGUAAAGGGCUCGUAGGUGGCCAACUAAGUCAGACGUGAAAUCCCUCGGCUUAACCGGGGAACUGCAUCUGAUACUGGAUGGCUUGAGUUUGGGAGAGGGAUGCGGAAUUCCAGGUGUAGCGGUGAAAUGCGUAGAUAUCUGGAGGAACACCGGUGGCGAAGGCGGCAUCCUGGACCAUUACUGACACUGAGAAGCGAAAGCCAGGGGAGCAAACGGG
rnacentral:rRNA from 1 species